rnacentral:rRNA from 1 species
GUCUAUAGCCAUGCCACUCUGAACAAGCCUGAUCCUGUCUGAUCUUGGAAGCUAAGCAGGGUCAGGCCUGGUUAGUACUUGGAUGGGAGACCACAUAUGAAGACCAGGUGCUGUAGGCA